AUGUAUCUGCCACUGCUGGCGAACGCUCCCGGCGCUGGAGACGGCCGUUCUUUUCCGCAGGUACGUGAAACCCAGCUGCAUACACAACCUAUCCCUCCAACCUCGCCCCAUCUCUGUUGUGCUUCCUCGGUGGAACUCAGACCGUGGCAUGCCCUUCCUAUCGCCGUCGUCACACCGAUGGCCCGGGCGGGAUCCGCCAUCCCCACGGCCGGGCCCCUCCUCGAUGGGCGCCCCUCCCUCAUCGCCGCCAACAACAGCGGAAGGUGCCGUGUCUGCACCGAGUGCCACGCCGUUUCCGACGUGGCGGAGCACAGCCACACGGCCAGGGCGCUCGGACUCCGCCCGCUCUUCGGCGCACCCUCCAGCUCAACCUGCGCGGUAGGCGGCUCCGGCGCAACGGCCCCCCGCGGAGUCGUCGUCGGGCGCUCAACCCGGGCGUCAACCCCGUGGACCAUGCGGGAGCAGGAUCCGCGGUCAGACCAUCCUCGCCGGGCGCCCGUUCGUGGCACACGGCCACGUUGCGGCCAGCCACAGCGGACGCCCUCGUCUCUCCAAGGAGUGCCACAACGUCGCCGACGCGGCAGGGCACGGCCUGGACGCUCGGGCUUGGGCUACCCCCGCUCCUUGGCGGCUCCACCUCUGUCGCGACGGGCAACUAUGUUUUGUCUCUAA
rnacentral:rRNA from 1 species